rnacentral:rRNA from 1 species
AUGGCUCAGUGAGGCCUUGGGACUGGCUCAGAGAGGUCGGCAACGACCACUCAGAGCCGGAAACUUGGUCAAACUUGGUCAUUUAGAGGAAGUAAAAGUCGUAACAAGGUUUCCGUGCCUAACACCCUCCGGGGUUCGAGGCCGGGAUGAGAAGUGAUUCCUUCCACAGGUGGCGCUUCGGAAGCCUUAGCAGCCUGAAAAGGUGGCCCUCUGACGACGAUAAAAUAAAAAGAGGUGCUGAAAUGCUAGUCAGUUAGCACACUGGCGACACCGUCAAAUUGCGGGAACCCCCUAAAGACUUCUGCUACCAAGCAGUGCUGGGAAACCUCACUGUGGCCAGGGUAAUGACCUCGGGUAUGGUAACAACGCAGAGUAUGAUCCUCUGGUAUUCAGUGGUGAAAUGGGCAAUCUGCAGCCAAGUCCGUCGUGCUCCUCUGGGGUGCCGGAUGCCGUUCACAGGCCAAAUGGUGGUGGGUUGACUUGGGCAUCAAGUCAGCUUAAGAUAUGGUCGGACCCCUGGGAAACCUUGCGGGAUAGUCACCAUGUAGUUAAAUGGAGGCGGGGAGCGAAAAAGUGCAAGCUUCUCACCAUGGGCGACUACGAUAACCAGCUAUACAGCACACACGCUCCUGGGCGUACCACAAAAAUGUUCCGUAGGUGAACCUGCGGAAGGAUCAUUAACGAGUUAAGGUCUUCCAGGCCUGACCUCCCAACCCUAUGUUUACUGAACCUUCGUUGCUUCGGCGGACCCGCCUCUCGGCCGCCGGAGGACCGCCUCACGGCGUCCUCUGGCCCGCGUCCGUCGACGGCCAACCUCAAAAACGCUGAAACAACCGUGUCGUCUGUCUCAGUCCCAUGAUUUAAAUUAAAGCAAAACUUUCAACAACGGAUCUCUUGGUUCUGGCAUCGAUGAAGAACGCAGCGAAAUGCGAUAAGUAAUGCGAAUUGCAGAAUUCCAGUGAGUCAUCGAAUCUUUGAACGCACAUUGCGCCCUUUGGCAUUCCGAAGGGCAUGCCUGUUCGAGCGUCAUUAUCACCCCUCGGGCCCUGUGCUCGAUGUUGGACGGCUGGUUGGGCAACCGACCCCUCCUAAAGACAAUGACGGCGGCCUGUGGCGCCCCCGGUACACUGAGCUUUUCACGGAGCACGUACCGGACGAGGGCGCCCGGGACCCGGUCCUCUCCUUUCACUAGGAACCUUCUCAAGGUUGACCUCGGAUCAGGUAGGAAUACGCGCUGAACUUAAGCAUAUCAAUAAGCGCAGGAAAAGAAACCAACAGGGAUUACCUCAGUAACGGCGAGUGAAGCGGUAAUAGCUCAAAUUUGAAAUCUGGCCUCUCGGGGUCCGAGUUGUAAUUUGUAGAGGACGUUUUGGGUACCGCCCCGGUCUAAAUUUCUUGGAACAGAAUGUCAUAGAGGGUGAGAAUCCCGUCUUGGACCGGCGGUAGGGCCUGUGUAAAACUCCUUCGACGAGUCGAGUUGUUUGGGAAUGCAGCUCAAAAUGGGUGGUAAAUUUCAUCUAAAGCUAAAUAUUGGCCAGAGACCGAUAGCGCACAAGUAGAGUGAUCGAAAGAUGAAAAGCACUUUGAAAAGAGAGUUAAACAGUAUGUGAAAUUGUUGAAAGGGAAGCGCUUGCAACCAGACUUGAGCGCGGCGGUUCCCCCGGCCUUUUGGCCGGGCUACUCCGCCGUGUCCAGGCCAACAUCGGUUCUGAGGGUCGGUCAAAGGCCCCGGGAAUGUAUCUACCCACGGGUAGACUUAUAGACCGGGGUGUCAUGCGGCCUCUCGGGACCGAGGAACGCGCUUCGGCUCGGAUGUUGGCGUAAUGGUUGUCAGCGACCCGUCUUGAAACACGGACCAAGGAGUCUAACAUCUAUGCGAGUGUUUGGGUGUCAAACCCGGAACGCGAAAUGAAAGUGAACGGAGGUAGGAAGCUUCGGCUGCACUAUCGACCGAUCCUGAAGUUUACGGAAGGAUUUGAGUAAGAGCAUAGCUGUUGGGACCCGAAAGAUGGUGAACUAUGCCUGAAUAGGGUGAAGCCAGAGGAAACUCUGGUGGAGGCUCGCAGCGGUUCUGACGUGCAAAUCGAUCGUCAAAUUUGGGUAUAGGGGCGAAAGACUAAUCGAACCAU